rnacentral:rRNA from 1 species
GACGAACGCUGGCGGCGUGCUUAACACAUGCAAGUCGAACGGAAAGGCCCUGCUUUUGUGGGGUGCUCGAGUGGCGAACGGGUGAGUAACACGUGAGUAACCUGCCCUUGACUUUGGGAUAACUUCAGGAAACUGGGGCUAAUACCGGAUAGGAGCUCCUGCUGCAUGGUGGGGGUUGGAAAGUUUCGGCGGUUGGGGAUGGACUCGCGGCUUAUCAGCUUGUUGGUGGGGUAGUGGCUUACCAAGGCUUUGACGGGUAGCCGGCCUGAGAGGGUGACCGGCCACAGUGGGACUGAGAUACGGCCCAGACUCCUACGGGAGGCAGCAGUGGGGAAUAUUGCACAAUGGGCGGAAGCCUGAUGCAGAAACGCCGCGUGCGGGAUGACGGCCUUCGGGUUGUAAACCGCUUUCGCCUGUGACGAAGCGUGAGUGACGGUAAUGGGUACAGAAGCACCGGCUAACUACGUG